UGAGGUAGUAGAGUGCAGUAGUUAUAAAAGGAAUCUCUGGAGCUAGAUUGCUGUACUUCAUACCUGCU